rnacentral:misc_RNA from 1 species
GAAUUGCGAUAAGUAAUGUGAAUUGCAUAAUUCUGUGAAUCAUUGAAUGUUUGAACGCACCUUGCGCUCUUCUGUGACGGCAGAGCAUGUGUGUUUGAGGGUGGUGCGUAAUGUGGUGUCGCAGGGUAGGUGUUUACACGCUGGCGACACUGAUGUGAGGCGCCGCUGUGAGGGCGUGCCUUGAAAUGGACUGCUCGGCGUGUGUGGGAUGGCGAGUGAGCAGCAUGGCAAUGUGUGAUGCGAGCGAGCUCGUUCCUGAUCUAUCACGUGGGCAAAAGGACGGAUACACCAAGUGUACCCUGGUUAAACCACCUCAAAUCACACAGGAACACCCGCUGAACUUAA